rnacentral:rRNA from 1 species
UAGGGAAUCUUCGGCAAUGGGGGGAACCCUGACCGAGCAACGCCGCGUGAGUGAAGAAGGUUUUCGGAUCGUAAAGCUCUGUUGUUAAGGAAGAACGAGUGUGAGAAUUGAAAGUUCAUGCUGUGACGGUACUUAACCAGAAAGGGACGGCUAACUACGUGCCAGCAGCCGCGGUAAUACGUAGGUCCCGAGCGUUGUCCGGAUUUAUUGGGCGUAAAGCGAGCGCAGGCGGUUAGAUAAGUCUGAAGUUAAAGGCAGUGGCUCAACCAUUGUAGGCUUUGGAAACUGUUUAACUUGAGUGCAGAAGGGGAGAGUGGAAUUCCAUGUGUAGCGGUGAAAUGCGUAGAUAUAUGGAGGAACACCGGUGGCGAAAGCGGCUCUCUGGUCUGUAACUGACGCUGAGGCUCGAAAGCGUGGGGAGCGAACAGG